AUUGAAAAACCUCACCUACUCUCGCGGGUCCUCAGCGUUCUCCUGCGGAACCUUUGAACGGGGUACUCGAGCCCACAGGGGAAGAGCAGCGGAAGGGGCCUUUCGGAACGAUUUGGAACGAAAGGAAGUGGAAGAAACGCGGAACCAUGGCCGCUGUGGUUGCUGUUUGCGGUGGUCUAGGGAGGAAGAAGUUGACACACUUGGUAACGGCUGCUGUCAGCCUUACACAUCCCGGGACUCACACGGUGCUUUGGAGAAGAGGUUGUUCACAACAGGUAUCCAGCAAUGAGGACCUGCUUUUGUCCCAGUUUGUUUCUCCAUUUACUGGAUGCAUUUAUGGAAGGCACAUUACAGGUCUUUGUGGGAAGAAACAGAAAGAAAUCACAAAAGCAAUUAAGAGAGCUCAAAUAAUGGGUAAGAAAGAAUACCUCAACAACUGAAUUGAGCUAGCUGAAAUUUUGCUCAUUAUGUUUUGUCAAGAACUUUAAUUAUCUCUUUACAGGGUUUAUGCCAGUUACAUACAAGGAUCCUGCAUAUCUCAAGGACCCUAAAGUUUGUAACAUCAGAUAUCGGGAAUAAAUUCUAUCACGUUACCACUAAUAAACUUAUUUUACAGU
rnacentral:lncRNA from 1 species